rnacentral:rRNA from 1 species
AUUGAACGCUGGCGGCAUGCUUUACACAUGCAAGUCGAACGGUAACAGGGUGCUUGCACCGCUGACGAGUGGCGAACGGGUGAGUAAUGCAUCGGAACGUGCCCAGUCGUGGGGGAUAACUAUCCGAAAGGAUAGCUAAUACCGCAUACGAUCUGCGGAUGAAAGCGGGGGACCUUCGGGCCUCGCGCGAUUGGAGCGGCCGAUGUCAGAUUAGGUAGUUGGUGGGGUAAAGGCUCACCAAGCCAACGAUCUGUAGCUGGUCUGAGAGGACGACCAGCCACACUGGGACUGAGACACGGCCCAGACUCCUACGGGAGGCAGCAGUGGGGAAUUUUGGACAAUGGGCGCAAGCCUGAUCCAGCAAUGCCGCGUGCAGGAAGAAGGCCUUCGGGUUGUAAACUGCUUUUGUACGGAACGAAACGGCUCUGGUUAAUACCCGGGGCUAAUGACGGUACCGUAAGAAUAAGCACCGGCUAACUACGUGCCAGCCGCCGCGGUAA